ACGAACGCUGGCGGCAUGCCUAAUACAUGCAAGUCGCACGAGAUCUUCGGAUCUAGUGGCGCACGGGUGCGUAACGCGUGGGAAUCUGCCCUUGGGUUCGGAAUAACUUCUGGAAACGGAAGCUAAUACCGGAUGAUGACGUAAGUCCAAAGAUUUAUCGCCCAAGGAUGAGCCCGCGUAGGAUUAGCUAGUUGGUGGGGUAAAGGCCCACCAAGGCGACGAUCCUUAGCUGGUCUGAGAGGAUGAUCAGCCACACUGGGACUGAGACACGGCCCAGACUCCUACGGGAGGCAGCAGUAGGGAAUAUUGGACAAUGGGCGAAAGCCUGAUCCAGAAAUGCCGCGUGAGUGAUGAAGGCCUUAGGGUUGUAAAGCUCUUUUACCCGGGAUGAUAAUGACAGUACCGGGAGAAUAAGCUCCGGCUAACUCCGUG
rnacentral:rRNA from 1 species